ensembl:lncRNA
UGGAAAUUUUACACUGGACUUCAGGCAACGUGGAUUCUGUGCCUCUCCUGUCUUCCUCCAGACUCUGGGACCUUGAUUUCCAAAGGAGAUACAAAAUGUACUUUCAUCUGAAAACAUAACUUUGGACCACUCGGCAGCAGUCCAGUCCUUUUUGUCUUGAGCCCAGGCGAGACGCUUUUGACGUUGUCUCUUAUUCAAGAGUGGCUUUACACGAGGAAUGCGACAGCUGAAGCCCAUAUCUUGCAUACGUCGGUGUGUGGUGCUUCUUGAAGCACUGACUCCAGCUACAGUCCACUCUUUGUGGAUCUCCCCCACAUUUUUGAAUCGGUUUUGUUUGACAAUCCUCUCCAGGGCGCGUUUAUCCCUCUUGCUUGUACACUAUUUUCUACCACAUCUUUUUCUUCCCUUCGCCUCUCUAUUAAUGUGCUUGGACACAGAGCUCUGGGAACAUCCAACCUCUUUGGCAAUGACCUUUUGUGUCUUGCCCUCCUUCUUUAAAGUAUCAAUGGUCAUCUUUUGGACAGUUGUCAAGUCAGCAGUCUUCCCCAUGAUUGUGUGUCAUACAGAAUCAAAACGAGAGACCAUUUAAAGGCUUUUCCAGGUGUUUUGAGUUAGUUAGCUAAUUAGAGUGUGGCACCAGGUGUCUUCAAUAUCUGACCUUUUCACCAUAUUCUAAUUUUCUGAGAUGUUGAAUUUAGGGUUUUCAUUGGUUGUCAGCUAUAAUCAUCUUCUUUUUGGCAAAAAACACUUAUAAUGUAUCAGUCUGUUUGGAAUGAAUGUAUACAUUCUACAGGUUUGACUUUCUAAAUGGAAUUAAUGAAAUAAAUCAACUUUUUCAUGAUAUUCUAAUAAUAUGACCAGCACCUGUGUAUAUAUAUAUAUAUAUAUCACAUCAAUAUACCUAUUGAUGUGUGCUUGUUUGAGCAGUAACUGAAGCCAUCACUAGACACUGCACCUGCUGAAGAGUCUGCAAACGUGUAUCAAUAUCAUCUACUUUCUUAAAUAAAUACAUUAAUUAUUUAAAAAUAAAUAUCUAUGAAUCUCCCACGGAAUGCCUAUAACUUCACACUACUGAGUAUCUCAACAACUGGGGAGAUGGGGUUAGAAAUAUAUAUUUAAGAACUUCUAUUUGUUACUUACUUAUUUGGCCAUAUGCUGUAAUCCCAUGCACUAUUCACAGGGUAAUCUUGCCAGUUUUGAGUUAUGGUGGAAUUUGCGGUUGUGAUACCGGUUCGAAAAAGCAUAGGCGAAAUAUGGUUGCACACUGGUGUUCAUGAAAAUGUUGGAUUGCUGCCUGUAGGUCGCACUCUCUCAGGAAGAUUCAUACCCAUUGCUGUCCAUUUAAACAACGGCGGUGCCACUCAAAUGUGCGCAGUCAUGUAUUUACUGGAGCUUGCCAAUAGUGUUCAAUCAUUGCUUCGCAAAAGUAUCAGGUUGCAGGAAGGAAAACAUUUGAGUCGUCAAAUAUUUUAGAGGUAAAAUAGUUCAAAAGGCCUGUGUCAUGAUCUACGAAGCAUUGGGAAAUGUUGGACGUUUUUGUUUUUUGCAGAGGUUAUAUAUUAUAUUAGCAAUGCACAAAACUGAAGCUUUAAAACUUUUGUAUGGAUUUUCAUUUUAAUAAUAUAAUUAUAAUUUUUAUAUGAUAAUUAUUUGCCAUAGUUUCUUUCAUAUAAAAUUAUAUAAAUACAAUUGUAAUUAUUGUGAAUGUAGCAUAAACAUAUGCAAAUAUAGACCAGUACAUAUUCGUUUUUGGUAUUUUCACACCAUUCUGCUACAAUCUAAAAUUUGAAACAGGCAGUCUUUUUCUCAUUUUGGUUCUAUCUGUUGACAAGCCAUCAUUAGGAAGUUAGGAACGUUUUUUUUUUCAUCCUCUCAAACAUUCAAUGUCAUUUAAAACAUCGGGAGUCUUUGCCCUCAAUAGUGCUAAAGUACGGCUGCUAAUGCACUGAUAUCCAGCUACUUUGUUUGGUGGUUUGUUUUAAUUCCAUGGGCAUACAGUUUGACAACAAAUGAAACCUGUCCUGUACUCUAGCAUUUCACAAUAGCCAUACAAAGAGUUCUAAAACGGUUACUGCUGUCUGCAGUGAAAAUGUUAACGGUUGAAAUGUAGUUGCUAAUUCAAUGCCAUUAUUUGUGAAUGUUUUGCUUUGGUUUAUUUGUUGUCUAUUCCUCUUGUGUAUGAGCUGGCUCAUACCGUCAGGCCAUGUUACCUUGAAGGUUCUUCUGAAUGACAAUGUAACCUUGCCUUUACCUGUUAUUUGUGGUUCCCUUCCAAUGCUAUUCUUUAAAGGGCCCCUAUUUCUUUUGUACAUUUUAAAGGCCCCAUAUUUUACCAAAGGGUUUGAGAGUGGGACAUUACAAUCCAUUCAAAAAUCGAUCCACUGGUUGCAUCUCAAGUGGGAGUGGCCGUUAAAAUGUAUGACAGAGAGGUCAAACUCCAGCCUAGUACUUGUUACGGUCCACCAGGGAAUUUAUCUGUCCAUCCCACAUCUGGGCGAGCACUUCCACUUGUAUAUUAAAAAGAAAUCUUGUAGCGUAUGACUAAUCACAAUCAACCCUGGUGGUAGAAUAGGGCCCUUUUUAAGAUGCUAUUCUGUUUGAACUUCAAGUACAAUUGUAGUAGGACUUUGUAUCCUAGAAAUUUGAAAGGGUUUAGGGUGAUAUGUAAGUUUCUGUCUGUCACAUCUACAAAUUGCCAGUACUUUGGGGGGUAGUGAGAUGCUAAGCUAUGCUAUGCUAGUGCUAAGACAAAUUUUUAUUUUUAUUUAGGUUAGGAGGGUUCAAGUCUUCAUGUGUAGUGUAUGUUCUAGCUACAUCAAUUUUGUUCCAUAUAUCUUUGCACAAUGUAGAAUUGUCACUUUAUUAUGAAUUGUAUAUGUGUUAGUCGCAUUGUUCCAGUAGAUUAAAACUGCUACUGUAAGAAAUCUAUGGAGAGCCUGGUGGCAGUACAGAGGGGCAGACUUUUAGGCCGGCCUGAUGUCAUACUUUUAAGUCCAUCCAAAAAAAACAAAAUAUAUGGGACAAUCAACUGACUGUCGCGUCUUAAAAGUGUAAUUUCUCUGUACUGUGUGUGUGUGUGUGUGUGUGUGUGUGUGUGUGUGUGUGUGUGUGUGUGUGUGUGUGUGUGUGUGUUUACUUAAUGCUGACCUUCCAUUGGUAAACAUAAUGUGUUGUGUCUGCCUUGAAACAGUCUGUGUACUUUGGUAAAAGCUGCUUUAAAAAGACAUCUUGCGUGAAUGACUUCAUUCAGAGGUCCAACCAGGUCCAUGUUCCACUACCAACUGCCACUCUUAAAAUGUCUGCUGUUAACUUUUUUGCUGUAUUGCUUUGUCAGAGACAGAAACUGUUUUCAACUGAUGGUUAAUCGAUAAUACAAAUAAAUAAGAC